rnacentral:sRNA from 13 species
GUCAACUCCCCCGCCCUAAAGGACGGAGCUUGCAAGAGCUAGGUUGACCAGACUCAGUGCUGCAAGGCACUACGCAGAUAAGAGGUCGUUAAGACUUACCAAGGGAUGCUUCCUUAGUCCCUUGCUCUAAA